GAUGAACGCUAGCGGCAGGCUUAAUACAUGCAAGUCGUGGGGCAGCGCAGGUAGCAAUACUGGGCGGCGACCGGCAAACGGGUGCGGAACACGUACACAACCUUCCGAGAAGUGGGGAAUAGCCCAGAGAAAUUUGGAUUAAUACCCCGUAACAUAACGAUGUGGCAUCACAUUGUUAUUAUAGCUUCGGCGCUUCUUGAUGGGUGUGCGGCUGAUUAGAUAGUUGGCGGGGUAACGGCCCACCAAGUCUACGAUCAGUAGCUGAUGUGAGAGCAUGAUCAGCCACACGGGCACUGAGGCGCGGGCCCGACUCCUACGGGAGGCAGCAGUAAGGAAUAUUGGUCAAUGGACGCAAGUCUGAACCAGCCAUGCCGCGUGAAGGAUUAAGGUCCUCUGGAUUGUAAACUUCUUUUAUCUGGGACGAAAAAAGGCGAUUCUUCGUCACUUGACGGUACCAGAUGAAUAAGCACCGGCUAACUCCGUGCCAGCAGCCGCCGUAAUAC
rnacentral:rRNA from 1 species